GAAAUGCGAUAAGUAGUGUGAAUUGCAGAAUUCAGUGAAUCAUCGAAUCUUUGAACGCACAUUGCGCCCCUUGGUAUUCCAUGGGGCAUGCCUGUUCGAGCGUCAUUGACACCCUCAAGCUCUGCUUGGUGUUGGGCCGUUGUCGCUUCCCCGGCACCCCGGCGACACAGCGACACCCCUUAAAGUCAUUGGCGGCCUUUCUGCCCGGCUCCCCGCGCAGUAGUUUCGCGCUCCGGAGGCCCCUGGGCAGGCUGGCACCCAUCAAGCUAACCCCUUUAUGCUUGACCUCGGAUCAGGUAGGGACACCCGCUGAACUUAA
rnacentral:misc_RNA from 1 species